rnacentral:rRNA from 1 species
GGCGUGGGCGCAGCUACACAUGCAGUCGAGCGGAUGACGGGAGCUUGCUCCUUGAUUCAGCGGCGGACGGGUGAGUAAUGCCUAGGAAUCUGCCUGGUAGUGGGGGACAACGUUUCGAAAGGAACGCUAAUACCGCAUACGUCCUACGGGAGAAAGCAGGGGACCUUCGGGCCUUGCGCUAUCAGAUGAGCCUAGGUCGGAUUAGCUAGUUGGUGAGGUAAUGGCUCACCAAGGCGACGAUCCGUAACUGGUCUGAGAGGAUGAUCAGUCACACUGGAACUGAGACACGGUCCAGACUCCUACGGGAGGCAGCAGUGGGGAAUAUUGGACAAUGGGCGAAAGCCUGAUCCAGCCAUGCCGCGUGUGUGAAGAAGGUCUUCGGAUUGUAAAGCACUUUAAGUUGGGAGGAAGGGCAGUAAGCUAAUACCUUGCUGUUUUGACGUUACCGACAGAAUAAGCACCGGCUAACUCUGUGCCAGCAGCCGCGGUAAUACAGAGGGUGCAAGCGUUAAUCGGAAUUACUGGGCGUAAAGCGCGCGUAGGUGGUUCGUUAAGUUGGAUGUGAAAGCCCCGGGCUCAACCUGGGAACUGCAUCCAAAACUGGCGAGCUAGAGUACGGUAGAGGGUGGUGGAAUUUCCUGUGUAGCGGUGAAAUGCGUAGAUAUAAGAAGGAACACCACUGGCGAAGGCGGGCACCUGG